rnacentral:rRNA from 2 species
UAGCAAACGAGGCUGAUGACGAGUCUGACGGAGCACGCCGCGUGAGCGAUGAAGGCCUUCGGGUCGUAAAGCUCUGUUGUUAGGGAAGAACAAGUGCUAGUUGAAUAAGCUGGCACCUUGACGGUACCUAACCAGAAAGCCACGGCUAACUACGUGCCAGCAGCCGCGGUAAUACGUAGGUGGCAAGCGUUAUCCGGAAUUAUUGGGCGUAAAGCGCGCGCAGGUGGUUUCUUAAGUCUGAUGUGAAAGCCCACGGCUCAACCGUGGAGGGUCAUUGGAAACUGGGAGACUUGAGUGCAGAAGAGGAAAGUGGAAUUCCAUGUGUAGCGGUGAAAUGCGUAGAGAUAUGGAGGAACACCAGUGGCGAAGGCGACUUUCUGGUCUGCAACUGACACUGAGGCGCGAAAGCGUGGGGAGCAAACAGGAUUAGAUACCCCGGUAGUCAAUC